rnacentral:rRNA from 1 species
UACGGGGGGAGCAAGCGUUGUUCGGAUUUACUGGGCGUAAAGGGCGCGUAGGCGGCGCGACAAGUCACUUGUGAAAUCUCCGGGCUUAACCCGGAGCGGCCAAGUGAUACUGUAGUGCUAGAGUGCGGAAGGGGCUACUGGAAUUCUCGGUGUAGCGGUGAAAUGCGUAGAUAUCGAGAGGAACACCUGCGGCGAAGGCGGCGACCUGGGUCGAUACUGACGCUGAGGUGCGAAAGCGUGGGGAGCAAACAGG